UCGACCUGAGCGAGCAUU
rnacentral:rRNA from 1 species